rnacentral:misc_RNA from 1 species
GGUUUUCAGGCGACGCCUGAAAACCUGGGGAGACCAAGUGUUUCUGAGUAAUGGUGCUUUUCACCAGCCAGUGGGGCGACCCACUGGCAUUUUUA